GUAAUGCCGGAUGCUCCAGUUGAUCGCAUGGUCUUCUGGGAAAGCUUUCGCGGUAUGGGAUGGGGUCGCGUCCUAUCAGCUUGACGGCGGGGUAACGGCCCACCGUGGCUUCGACGGGUAGCCGGCCUGAGAGGGCGACCGGCCACAUUGGGACUGAGAUACGGCCCAGACUCCUACGGGAGGCAGCAGUGGGGAAUAUUGCACAAUGGGCGCAAGCCUGAUGCAGCGACGCCGCGUGAGGGAUGGAGGCCUUCGGGUUGUAAACCUCUUUUAUCGGGGAGCAAGCGAGAGUGAGUUUACCCGUUGAAUAAGCACCGGCUAACUACGUGCCAGCAGCCGCGGUAAUACGUAGGGUGCAAGCGUUAUCCGGAAUUAUUGGGCGUAAAGGGCUCGUAGGCGGUUCGUCGCGUCCGGUGUGAAAGUCCAUCGCUUAACGGUGGAUCCGCGCCGGGUACGGGCGGGCUUGAGUGCGGUAGGGGAGACUGGAAUUCCCGGUGUAACGGUGGAAUGUGU
rnacentral:rRNA from 1 species